CCCUCGAUAGCUCAGUUGGCAGAGCGGUGGACUGUAGAUGUUGGAACAGAGAUCCAUAGGUCGCUGGUUCAAAUCCGGCUCGAGGGA